AAGUUUCCAGGCCCUGGACCAGAGGUGUGCUUGACCAGAAGCUGCAGCCCUAGCUGGAAAGGGUUAGCUCCUCCCAGACUUCAGGGGCUGCAUUAGUAACAAGGGUUCGCUGGUCCUCUCGCGGUAGGACAGACCCCUCCACGGAAGAGGACAGGCGUUUUCAGUCACCGUCCGGCUGCGGCUGCCCUCGCCCUCGUGCCUGCAGGGCUGGAAAAGGCCCUCUCAGAGAUUCCGGAGCUAAAGGCCUUGCUGAGGCUUCUCUGCAGGCCAAGGUCCUCGCAAAGACCGCUGCCCAAGGAUCGGAUCCAGCUCCUCCUCCGCUUUUUAAUUUCAAUACCAAAUCAGGGUGAGCGGAAGGGUACUGGCGACCCCAGCGAACUGAGCAACAACCGUGCCACCUGGAAACGCACCCAGUAAUUCCUAGAGAAUUUCCCACUCGCCGCAGGCCUAUGAACAAACCACUUGACUUCAAGGCCAGACCUAUCACCCUCUCUUCCUUGGCCCUGAAUGGAGAGCGGAAUGUGCCAAGGCUGCGCUCCCGCCCAAGCCGGGCACCCAGAAAUUAAGGCCUGAAUCGCCCCAGCUCUCGAGCAUACGCAGAAGGCGACUGUCAGGAGCGCAGGGAGGAGACGACUACCUGUCAGUUUGGCUGUAGAGUGGCCCCCAGAUGCCCCUGUGUGACAGGCUUGCUUUCCACCUGCGCCAUAUCGGGAGGCGCAGAACCUUUAGAAGGUGGGACCCAGGGGAGUCAGGUCAGGGGACCCUUGGAGGGGACACGGGGGUGCCCCGCCUCUCUGCUUCCCAGCUGCCCUGAGCCUCCUCUGCCACAUACUCCCAACCACAGGUACUGGAGGUCACAGCAGCUGUGUGUGCGUGUGUGUGUAUGUGUGUGUGUGUGUGUGUGUUUGUGUGUGUGUUUACACCUGGGGAUUGAACCCUGGGCCUACCCACUGAGCUACACCCAGCCUGCCUUUCUCUCUCGCUCUCUCUCUCCCUCUCUUUCUGUUCAAACCUGGUCUGGCUGAAUUGCCCAGGCUGGGCUCAAACUUCCAAUCCUCCUGCCUCAGUCUCCCAGAGUGUGGGAUUACACAUGCUGCUCUUUUACUCCUAAGUUAUGUAUUUAUCACGGGACAGAAAGCUCCCUAACACACUGCCCUUCAACAUACAGGAUAUCUAGACUAUUCUCAAGGCCUCUCCAUGCAACUGUGUUUGCCAAAGUAUUGGUUUAUCUAUUGUGCAAUGAAACUAAAGAGGGAUAGGUUUUAUGACCUGCAAAAAUUAUAGGAAUAGUAGGGAUCUAUCAGAAGAAGUAAUCUAAUGAGGUAAAAAAAAAAUUAAGGAAAGUAAAUGUGAAAGAGGUGGUAAUGAGGUAAAGCCAAGUUGGGGCCUCCUGGACAGUGGCUCUAAACUGACACUGAUUCUGGGGCCCGAGAGAUCAUUACAGUUCACAGAUCAGAGUAGGGCCUUCUGGAGGUCACCUGGGCAGGGGAGUUUAAGUUUAGGUCGCCACACCCAGACUGUCCUCAGUGCUGCAAAGCAUGAUUGCAGUACACUCCAUGGAACCCCACAUUGGUUCCCCAAUCUGUGAAGGGGGGGGGGGGGACCAAUGGAAGCCAUUAAAGCUGUCUCUGCCUGGAAAGAUAGCAACUCCUAAACUACACCAUAUUCUGGAAAAGAUAGCAG
rnacentral:lncRNA from 1 species